UUCCGUAGGUGAACCUGCGGAAGGAUCAUAAAAAUAUCACUCGAUUGGAGUGAUUAAUAAUCAUCCUACCCUUGUGAUUUGUUGUUUGAAUAAUUUUUUUGAUUUUAAAAAAAUUAUUUAUGGUUUUGUCUAUCCCUAAAUUGGUUUGUUUGUUGUAAAAGACAAGUGAAUCAAUUUAGGGAAUAGGCUUCAUAAUAAGUUUUUUUUAAGUCUUAAAGACCUUUUUUAAAAUAAACUUUUGUAUUCAUUGUCUAAAUUUUUUUUAAAAUAUUUAAAAACAACUUUUGACAAUGGAUCUCUUGGUUCUCGCAACGAUGAAGACGCAGCAAAAUGCGAUAAUAAUGUGAAUUGCAGAAUACGUGAAUCAUCAAAUCUUCGAACGCAUAUUGCACUUUUUUAGUUUACUAAAAAGUAUGUCUGUUUGAGUAUCAGUAAAUAUUCUCAUAAAAACAUUUUUGUUUUAUGGUUAUGGUGUUUACAACGAUAAACAAGUUGUUUCACUUUAAAUUCAUUUUAUAAGACUUUAUGGUUUUAAUAAUUAAAUGGAUAAAAUUUCCCGUAAAAAGGAAUAAACUUUUCAGUUUUAGUUAGAGAAAUCUCGGUCCGAUUUUAAAGGAAAUUAUUUUAAAUAACUUGAUCUCAAAUCAGAUAAGAGUACCCGCUGAACUUAAGCAUAUCAAUAAGCGGAGGAAAAGAAACUAACAAGGAUCCUUAGUAACGGCGAGUGAAGCGGGAAGAGCUCAAAUUGAAAUCUUCAAGGUUCUACCUUGACGAAUUGUAGUUUAAAGAAGUGUUUUCUGUUAGAUGAGUAGCAAAAGUUCCUUGGAAUGGGACAUCAUAGAGGGUGAGAAUCCCGUAUUUGGUUAUCAUUCUAGCUUUGUGAUACACUUCAAAGAGUCGGAUUGUUUGGAAUGCAGUCCAAAAUGGGUGGUAAAUUUCAUCUAAAGCUAAAUAUUGGCGAGAGACCGAUAGCGACAAGUACCGUGAGGGAAGAUGAAAAGAACUUUGAAAGAGAGUUAAACAGUACGUGAAAUUGUCAAAGGGAAGCGUUUGACACCAGUGUUGUUUUUCCGAAAAUCAUUACGAAUGGCUGAUUUGUGUUGUAUUGACCUUAUCAGCUUUCUUCACUUUUUUCGAGUCUUUCUUAAUGCACUUUCGGUCAACAAGUCACAUCAAUUUCUUUUGUUGUAAAAGAGUAUUCGGAAGGUGGCUUUCUUUUCGGAGAAAGUGUUAUAGCCCUAUACUUCUACAAUCGGAGAGAUUGAGGUCUGCAGCGUAGAUCCUUCGGUUAGAUACAUUUGUGCUAAGUUGUAGCUUUUCAUAGACACUUGUUGACUAUGUUUAGUCAUGCGGCUUACUCGCUUAUGCUAUUU
rnacentral:misc_RNA from 1 species